CACUCCGAGGAGCGUUGCAACGGAUGGAGGCCUGCGAAGCACAUCGCGCGGCCGGCGGCACAGCCGCCCCAUGCCAUCCGCCAGGCUCGGACUGUCUUCAACGGCGCUCGCUGAUC
rnacentral:ncRNA from 17 species